rnacentral:rRNA from 1 species
GAUGAACGCUAGCGGCAGGCCUAAUACAUGCAAGUCGGACGGGAUUCAGGAGCUUGCUUCUGAUGAGAGUGGCGCACGGGUGCGUAACACGUAUGUAACCUACCUUUAUCAGGGGGAUAGCCUCUCGAAAGAGAGAUUAAGCCCGCAUAAAAUCACAGCACAGCAUUGUGUAAUGAUCAAAUAUUUAUAGGAUAAAGAUGGGCAUGCGGAACAUUAGCUAGAUGGCGGGGUAACGGCCCACCAUGGCGACGAUGUUUAGGGGAUCUGAGAGGAUGGCCCCCCACGCUGGUACUGAGACACGGACCAGACUCCUACGUGAGGCAGCAGUAAGGGAUAUGUGUCAAUGGGCAGAAGCCUUAGCCAGCCAUGCCGCGUGCAGGAAGACGGCCCUACGGGUUGUAAACUGCUUUUAUACGGGAAUAAACCCAGAUACGUGUAUCUGGCUGAAUGUACUGUAAGAAUAAGGAUCGGCUAACUCCGUG